UACGUAGGGAGCAAGCGUUGUCCGGAAUCAUUGGGCGUAAAGCGCGCGUAGGCGGCUCGAUCAGUCUGUUGUGAAAGUCAAAGGCUCAACCUUUGAAUGCCGAUGGAUACUGUCGAGCUAGAGUCCGGAAGAGGCGGGUGGAAUCCUGGUGUAGCGGUGAAAUGCGCAGAUAUCAGGAGGAACACCGGUGGCGAAGGCGGGGUCUCUGGGGCCGAUACUGACGCUGAGGAGCGAAAGCGUGGGGAGCGAACAGG
rnacentral:rRNA from 1 species